AUCUGGUAGAUAUCAAAGAUGGCUGACGAUUCAGCUAUGAAGCCUAUAGAGCAGGCCAAGUUGAUAGAGCAUAAAGUAGGAGAAAGGUCUGAUGAUUCAACUUCAAAACUGGCUGGCCCAUCCAAGAUAAUUAAGACAGCCGACCAAGAUUCAUCUGGUUACGCAACUACAAAAUGCGAGUCAAAGGAGUUGGAAGGAGUUCUACUUCACACUCAAAGACUGACUGUCCGAGAUACAUCUU